GCCUAAAAGAUUCUUUCUUCUUGCAGCAUUUUCUCUCAUUCGCUCCUUGCUCAAUCCCUUUCAAGAUGCUGAGAAAUCUAUAAACUGCUUUAACCCAAUUCUCUUCGAUCUCUUUUCUAUUUAAAGGUCUAAUCUUUUUCGAUUCGUUUCAGUCUCAAGGUACUCCGCUCCAACAAGAAGGAAGGAAUGCGGCCAAAUGUAUCGCGAAAUCCAAAAGGGUUUAUAACCUACGACUUCGGAAUGUACAGGUUACGGUUUUGAUCGAUUUGAUGAUUAGGGCUUGAACUGGGGUCUUUUUGGUCGGUUUUGGAAUAAAAUUUGUUAUUUAUUUUCUUUUUAAUGUUCAAGAAACUAUGAAUUUUCAAAGGGAAAUUCCCUCAAGAACCGACAUGCUAUCAUUUGAAGCAUAUCAUGUUCUUGGUUCAUGGUCUUUUGCUAAUAAAUGUUAAGGUGAUUAAUUAGAUGCAACUCAUUUGGAAAAAUUGAUGGUCUUAUUUUUUUUUCAUUUGUUAAUAUUAGUGUGAAUUGUUUAUACAUUGUGUUGCCAUUAUUCCAGAAAUUAUUGUUAAGCUGCAAUCCAUUAUCAUUUUGCUUAGUGAAAGUUGAUUUAAGAUUGGUGAUGUAGUCCAUAAAAUGGUUGUGGUGCUUCAAAUUCCAGAACUUUGUUCUGCCUUUGCUGGUUUGGUUUAUGAUUUAAUUUGCAUAUUUGCACAGUUAGAAAUCAAAUCAUUACAUUCUUUAUAACACUAGAUGGAAACAUAAUUGUAAACAGGAUUAUCCUGUUCGUUAUCCUGUUUAGAAUGCUUCAUAUUAUGGAGAAAAAUUUUCAUUUGUUUACUUAUGAAAUUGAAAUUGAUUGAAUUUCAGAUUGAAGUUGGUGAAGUUGUCGCUGUUAACUGUUAAGUUAAAACUUAAUGUUAACCAAAGAGAAAAUGACAUGAAGAUAGUGGUGGCUGAAUACUCAGCCAUUUGUGAUCCUGGGUUGUAUGCAUUAAUCAUAUAGAGUGAAUAUUAGCCAUAAAGUCUGGCCCAGAUAUAGUCUUUUAGAGAUUAUGUAUGUUUGUAUGUUGAGGUCCACAUCUUUUAUAGAUUUGUGCUUUUAUACCUGCAGAUUCUUGAGGGUUCCGUUUGAGUUCCCACAGAACUUGUAAAAUGUCUUCGCAAAAAUAUCUGCUAAUCUUCUCACUGCUCCUCUAUUUGCUUAUUUUGUGUGGUGAUUUGUUGAAGGUUUACCAGCAGUGGUGCUCAUUUUGUUUUUUGUUUGUUUUUUGUUUUUUUGUUUGUUUGUUUUUGCUUUCCUAUGUUUUUGAAAUCAGGCAGAAUGAAUGUUCCUUGCCUGUAAUGUAUUUUGCAAAUAAAUGAUGCAUCAAACUAUGAGCUAAUGGAGGCGAGAGGCUGAAAUUUCUGCAAGGGCAUUGAUAUUUAAGAAGAGGUUUUCUCCAGAGAAUAGGCUCAAAGACAAUUAACUACACUUUCUUGCUUAUAUGUAUGGUGCAAUAGUAAAGAGAUUGUUGAUACCAAACUUUAACCAUAUCAUGGGUGCUUGUAUGGCUACUGUUGAAGAAAGAAAGUUCCUUCUGGAACAGAAUUACUUUCACAGGGGUCCUCCAUCGCAUUUCUCUACUUAUGUGGCCUGAAUAUGCUGAGAAAAUCAAACAUCUCCAAGCAAGGGCUAGAAACCAAGUAUAACUGAUGCAAGCUUAAAACGAUGGGGUUGGAGAUGACCCUUUAUAGGCUAGAAGCUAAUGAGGCAGCAGAGAGUAAACACAACAUAUACAUUAUUUCAAUCAAGAUUUUGAUCAUGCUUUGUAAAGUGGUUUAUUUCUGUCAUCGUUAUGGUAAAUUCUUUGGAUGAUUAAUUCAGUUGAUGAUGCUUGAAAAACUGUAACACAGAGAACUGAAUGGAACUCAGGAUAUAAUUUCAUCUGCUUCUUUGUCGAACAAGAAUUUGCGGGCAUCAGUUGAACACAAUGAGGUUAUGCAACAUGAAGUUGUAGAGUUUGAACUAGCUGCUGAGGAUGCUUGCAGUAUGCUCAGAUUACAGUUGUUUCGAAAAAACUGGAAGAUUUGUGAAGCAAUCCAGGUAUUCAUCUUUUUUCUCUGUAUCUCUCUCAUAACAUAGUUGAUUGUUCUAGAUGUUUUUUGCCAUUGUAUUCUACAAUUCCUUAGCCGGUUUAUCUGCAAUUAAAAUAAUGCUAAGAGUUUCUUAUAUUUCUUUCACUCUAGUUUCUUCAAAAUGAGAAUUCUGAAACAUUCCAUUCCUUUGUACCGAGAAUUACUCCUUCGCUGUGACUGAAAUUGAUCUAGCUGAUGAAUGUAAGCUGCUAAUAUUUCUUUAUGAGAAGUUUCUAGCUUUGAACCUUGAUAACAUAGUUUAUGACUAUAAAGACAUAUAUUAUCAAGUAUAUUUUAGAGUAUAAUAUUUGAGUUUUGAAAUUGAUUGUAUUUAAGAACAUUUGUAGUCGUAGAUGUGUGUGUGUAUGAGCAAGUGUGUUUGUGUGUGUGAUUUUAUAAGUGAUUACUUGAUAAAUAUGCGUGCGUGUGCAUGAUUUUAUAAGUGUUUAAAAAUUCUUAGUGAUAACUUGAUAAUGAAGUAUUUUUAAGGAUAAAUCGUUAGAAGUAUUGUAUUGAAAUUUUAGCAACAAAAAUAUCAUUUGAGUUUAAAAAAUAUUGUAGAGAACCAAAGAAUGUAAAUGGCUCAUUUUUCUAUGAAAAGUUUUUAUCUUUGAACCUUAGCAAAAUAUAUUAUGGCUUCAAAGAUGUUAUAUAUCAAGUAUAUUUGAGAGUACAAUAUUGAGUUUUUAAAUUGUUUUGGCCGCAUUGGGAACUUUCAUAGCCGCUGAUACAUAUAUGAUUUUAUAAGUGAUUAAGAUUUCUUAGUGGUUACUUGUCAAUGCAGUUUUCUUAAGGAUAAAUUGUUAGAACAAUAGUAUUGAUGUUUUACCAGCGAAAUCAUCGUUGAGGCCUAAAAAUAUUGUAGAGGCUCAAAGAAUGUAGACAGCUCAUUUUUUUUAAUGAGAAGUUUCUAUCUUUGAACCUUAACAACAAGGUUUAUGCUUACAAAGAUGUUGUACACCAUCAAGUAUAUUUUAGAGUAGAAUAUUGAGUUUUGAAAUUGUUUUGAUAGUAUUAAGAACUUUUGUAGCCGUUGAUUUUAUAAAUGAUUAAAAUGUCUUAGUGAUGACUUGAUCAUGUAGUUUUCUCAAAAAUAAAUUAUCACAACUAUUUGAAGUUUUAGCAGCGACAUCAUCUGAACCCUAAAAAUAUUGUAGAGGCUCAAAGAAUAUAAACUGCUCAUUUUUCUUUAUGAGAAGUUUCUAUCUUUGAACCUCGACAACAUAGUUUUUGGCCACAAAGAUGUUGUAUAUAGUGUAUAUUUUAAAGUACAAUCUUGAGUUGGAAUAGUUUUGCUUGUAUCCGGAACUUUUGUGGCCUUAGAUGUGUGAUCUUGUGCUAAUUAAGAUUGUUUAGCGAUUACUUAAUAGCAUGAGGCAAAACGUCCUUUAUCAGUUUUCGGGGAAAGUCCCUUUGUUCUAUUUGUUUUAAUAGAGUACCCUUUCAAUAGCUAUGUUCUAGAUGGGAAACAUUCACUAUCAUAAUUUCAGGUUUAGUUAUGAAAGGUAUUUCCUCCAUUAGAUUUAGUGAAUUAAUGUUUGAUUUUGGCCCCUCCCUUUCAAAGAAAAUCUUACUUCCCAUUUGUGCUUUAUUUGUUUUUGUACUUUUCAUUUAUUGGUUGUCCCUACAGCUGUUCCACUUUUUCCUAUUAGAUUUGGAUGAACAAAAAUAAAACAAUCUUGUACUAUCUUAGACAUUGAGGUUUCUUUCAAGUUUAAUAUUAUAUACAGCAGAUUUUUUUGGUCAAAUCUGACAUAGUAAAAAAUGUUCUUUCCGCUAAAUACGCCAUAGGGAUCAAACACUAAAUAUUAAAUAUAUAUGUUUAUACUAAAUUUAAUAGCACAUAUCUUCAUCCACGAUCCUGGAGCAGUUAUAAUGUGCAAAAAUAGUUAGCCUCCGGAAGAUAAUGCAUAAAUAAAAAUGUUUAAAGGAAAACAAAAGGAAGAAAUUACCUAUAUAUUCCUUGGAGUCAACAUCAAAGAGCAUUUCUUCUCAAGCAAAACUGUAGUUUAUUGGCAUUUGUAGAGAGGAGAUUAAAAUUUGAAGGCAAUCACAAGUCUACCCAAUUUAUAGCAAUGGAAAAAUCCGCAUAGGAUUCGGGCGCUACACAAGUGUCAGCUAGGAAACAUGCACCCAAUCCUUUGAGCAUGUCCCUAUUCAGAUCCUAGAAUUUCUUGGGAAAAUGUACUGAAAAUAGGAGGAACGAAUCUAAAAUAGGAGGAACGAAUCUAUUUGUGUUUCCAGUUUGUAGGAUAGCGGGUUUGAACUGUAUUGAACGUUUAUGGUGAGUACAAAUGAAAAGAUUUGGUUCACUUGACUCGGAAGACUGAUUAAUUUGAUGACUCAAUAACUUGGUUUGUAUCCAUCUUCCCUAAAAUAGAGGAGUUGGGUUCAAAAUGUAAAUUGGUUGGGACUCAAAAUUACACCUUCUGCUGUGGCUGAAAUUGAUCUAGCUGAUGAAAUUAAGAAAACGAUAGAUUUCUCAACAACGAAAAGAAGCAGAAGACAUCUCUAUUCUGUUCAUUGCUUGUUUGGUUAUAUUUGUUUAUUGAUUUAUUAUUUUUACUCUUAACUCUAAGUAUCAUUCAGAUUGGAUUACUACUAUACAAGUUUCUCUAAGAAUCACAUUAGUAGGAAAACUCUAUUUUGAGACUUGUUUGUUUGCAUGGAAGUAAUUAUGAAACAGCUAAAGAAAAGGAAGGAGAGGCUACAUUUGCUACUUUCGAGCAAAAAAAAAAUUUUGUUUCUCUAAAAAAACUACUUUCAAUACUUUCUUAAACGCUGAUGUGGCGUCUGUAUGUCAUCCCUACUUUCUAAAUGUUUUUCCGCCCCUCAAGGCUCGGAAGUAGCUCGGAAGUAGGUGAAAUGUGUCUUAAUUAGGAAACAUAUUCAUUAAUAUUUCCUUUGUUAGUUACUUCCUAACAACUUCUCAUUACUAUCCAAACAAAAAUAGAAUGAAGAAUAAGAACUACUAUUUCCACUACUUCAAAAAAUAUGUGAAACAAAUAAUUUUUUUUACUUCCAUUCGUGCUUCAUAAAUUUAGAAGUUACUUCUUUGAUCUAUUUCCUACUUUCAGUACUUCAGUCAAAUCAAAUGAGCCCUUGAUCUCAGAACCAAUAUGUUGAGAACUAAAAUUUCUUCAUAUAGAAUUCUAAUGCCAUUAUUAGAUUUUGUUGAUUUCAAGUUAUAUCCAGUUAAUUAUUAUUUCUCUUCAGGUUUGAUCUUAUUAACUCUGCAACCAAAUUGAUCAAUUCCUCUCUAUAUCUGACUCCCUGUAACAAUGCCUGAAUGAUUACCAUCAGAUCCUUCAAUUUCUUAGUCUCAGUGUAGAGGACAUUUCUUGAAUGGCAAUUGACAAUUAAGGUCCGGUUCAAAUAUAAACUCGAAAAUUUCCCACGUUUGGCUUGAGAAAAGUAACCUUUCAGCAUUCAAAAUGACAUGUGUUUGUUAACAGUUGUAUAUUCUAUAAUGGCCAUAAGCUUAUAAAUAUUUCUUCCAAGUUGACAUGCUAGCAUCAAGGAGUUCAUAGACCAUAAUAGAUACACCUGUAUAAACCAUCCUCUCGUCAUUUUGAUCUUCAACAUGCCUUUAUGCUUUUCAACUUUAAAGUGAACAUCUCACUAUAUCAAAUUCCUGAGCAUGAGAACAGCCAAUUUCCCUGCAUCUUCCAUUUUCUUUGUGUUCAAAAGUGUAAGCCCGGAUGAGGAGGAGCUUCUCCUCCGGGAGGGAGUGUUGGUCCCGUUAAUGGGUGUCGGGCCGGAGAUGGUGGCAACCAAUAUGCCCACAGCCUUUUCACUAGUAGCAAAUCAUCAGUCCUUUUAUAUUGGCAAAUCAUCGGCCUCCAGCUGUUUGUUUGCAUUGUAUUGUCGAUUCAUUCAAUAUUUUUCUUGGAGUAAUACCUGGAUAUAAAUCCACAAUAUUAAACUGCAAUGAUAUGUUACUAAUUCUAGUAUUGUUUACAAAUGCAUGAUGCAUCCUGUGCACCAAGGAGUUGUGGCUACCCAAUUCUGUUUUCUUAGGCCAUAACUCGAAAAUAAUGUCGUGAUGGAGAUCAGGAGAUGUAUGUGCUACAUAGUUCAGGAGUUGCAUAUGCAACCAAUCAAUCCCUAAAUCUUGUUGGUAUUAUAAGCUGACUACAUAUAUUGCAAUAGAAUAGAUGAGAUCGAGCAUACAGGUCAAGGUGAUGG